UACGUAGGGGGCAAGCGUUGUCCGGAAUCAUUGGGCGUAAAGAGCGUGUAGGCGGCUUGGUAAGUCCGCUGUGAAAGUCCAGGGCUCAACCCUGGAAAGCCGGUGGAAACUGUCAAGCUUGAGUCCGGAAGAGGCGAGUGGAAUUCCUGGUGUAGCGGUGAAAUGCGCAGAUAUCAUUUGGGACGCCAAUGGUGAAAACAGGUCGCUGGGAGUGUGCUGACGCUGAGACACGAAAGCCAGGGGAGCAAACGGG
rnacentral:rRNA from 1 species